AUCUUGCGUAUCUUCGGCCCCACUUCUCUUCUAUCUGUGCACACGAAAUUAGGGUUUUCCCAAAAUCAGUUCCGUUAAGAAAAAACAAUAACAGCCUUUUCCCUUUCCGGCCUCCUUCUGUCUCCCUGUUUUGAUUCUCUUCUUUUUCUUUUGCCCAUCGAUAAUUUCUUUUUUAUUCUGCCUCUAUGUUCUGAUUAUCAACUGAUUUCUUUUUGUGUUUGCACUACUAUCUGCAGAUCAGAAUUGAAAUCAUGACGUCGUCGUCGGUGGAGAUGCAUUACAGGUAAAAUCGGUUUUUCUAUCAUGCUUUUUUGAAUUUUCUGUUUUAUUUGAUUCACAGAAACAAAAAGUAGGGUUUGUUCCUUUUCUCUCCUUUGUAUCGAUUCCUGAUUCACAGAAACAGGCAUGAAAGAACACGAGUUUCGUACUAAUGUAAUGAAACAAAUCAAUCAAGAGAAUUGUAAAAAGUGAGAUUCGUCUUCUUAUCUCAUGUUUUUGUUUGAUGAAAUUACAAGUCACUAAGUUAGUGCACAGAAGCCCUAAUUUUGCAAUUUUAUAAAUUUAGUUGGGGAGAAUCCCUUCGUUGUCCAAAAACAGUCCUAAUAUGGAUUCUCAAAUACAUGAUAAUUUGCGUAAGCUUUGGUUAACUAUAACAUCCAUAUUCUUGAUGUUUUCAGAGUAAACUUAUAUGUGCACGAAAUAGCCAUGAAAAUCUAUCACAAAGAUCUUUUUUUCUUUCUUUGGUUCGAAUGUCGUAAAUUGGGGUUAUUGAUGAAUUAUAUUAAGUUCGAUCAAAAGUUGAUUAAUAAGUUACCGCCAAAUAUAAAUGUCCAAAAUAGUUGUAUGUACUGUGUAUUAAGCAAGCUUCCAAUGGGAUAGAAUCGAGGAAAAGUAUCUCUAUCAAGCAUUCCGUGUUCUUUUACAUUUUUUUCCUGAUUUAAUUUGCCUGUUUAGCAUCUCAUAAUAAUUUAAAAUUGAACAAUCAGAAGUGUAUUAAUUGGCUGGAGGAUCUACUAUUAUGUGGAGGUUCAACUUUAAUCUUUUACUUUUUGUGAUGUAUUUGACAUGAACUUACUUACUUUGUGAAGAUAAUCUUCAAUGAGUAACAUAGAUUUUGAUUCUUUCCUCGCAUUCGCUCUUUUGAAUCUGGAUUGUUGGUUUGUGUUUGGUAGCUAACGAUGAGUGGCGACACUAUUGUAUUUAUUGUUUUUGUUGUCCUCACGUACCACUUUAAAAAUAUGAGUCAUGUUUCUCUUUUUGCGUCUGCGGCAUGAUAGUCCAAGUCAAGUUUCACUAUUCCUGUCAAAGGCAUGAUAGUCCACGUGUAUAACAGAGAAUGAUGACGGUGAUGUUCAUUCUACACUCAAGGGAUCUGGAUUCAAAGGUAAAUACACAAACCCAGGCUGCACUUUACCCUUCAGGUCGUAUACGAUGAUGGUGAUGUUCAUUCUACACUCAAGGGAGCUUGCUUCUAAGGUAAAUACACAAACCCAGGUUGCAUUUUACCCUCCAGGUGGUAUACGAUAUAAGAAUUAACUGUGGGGUAUCGUUAUCAUACGAAAAAACAGCUUAAUACAUUGUAACCUUUAUAUCUCUGCCAUGAUUAAUAUCUCAGCAUGUGUCAUUUAAUUGGAAUAUAACAGAUCGAUUGAACCGUAAUUGUUCCCUAUUUAUCAUUAAUUAAGGUGAACUACGAAUUCUUCUAUUCCGAAUGAAUAUGCUCAGCUCCAUUUUAGGUUUGUAAUAUUUUGGCAUCGUGGCAGGCAUUUUCUUGAAGCAAUAUGAGGUACAUUUAAGAUUUGUGCUUUCUUAUAUUCUUUUUAUUAUAGACUUUCCAAAUAAGUCAAAACACUUCCGGAAUGUAUUACUACUUCACAUUUGAUUUAUAACCGUCUAUAAUAUGAGUUAUACUGUAAAACUCAAUUGAAAUUGUUUUUGAUAGAUGUUUGUUUUUGCAGACUCAUGUUAACGCUUUUGCAUUCAUUCAUAGUGAACUCUCCGUGCUACAAGGGGGAAUGCUGCUCAUAGUUGAACUUGGUUAUCAUUUUUACAUCUACGACAUUGAAAAACAUACCGAAACAUACCAUAGAUGUAUGAAUGCUAACCCAAUUCAAGCUAGGAAAACUAAAAAUACUCUUUUGGUUUAUACCAUAGGUUAGGUUGGCGAUGUGGCUUUGGAGAAGAAUGGAGACAAAGCAACCAUAUAAAAACAUGAUGUCAUUGCCACAGCCUUGAAUUAAGAGUUAUGCUGAUCCUAUUGAAAAGACUGGCAUCAAAGAGAAAGAAAAGGAGUUACAGCUCAAGUAUGGGGUUUUUUGCCCUGAGCACCUUAAUUUUUAAGUGUUCCAUAUUGCAACAGCUUAGAAUGUGAUGUUGCGUGUAAAGAAGAAGAGUUCACUGAAGUGACCCAUAGUCUCUGCAUAGAGGAGAUGUAUGGUUACAAUGACUUAUGUGGCUGCUGCGACCCAUAUCCUGAAUUCAUCAGAUACCCCAAAUCUGUUGUUUCUUCUUCUACCAGCUGAUUCCACUAUUUUCGAAAAUUGAAGUGUAGACUUUCUGGAAUUAGUUUCUCUUUACUAAGAAUAUAUGUUUCCAACUCUGGAAUUGGUUUAUUAAUAAUAACCACAAAAAACACGACCUUGUGCAAUUGAGAGAGAUUAGUAUUCCAUUUCUUUUGGUAUUCCCAAUGAAUCCAACACAGCAAUAUACAAGAUGAUCUCGUAUUGAUUACAUAAAAUUGGUUGAUUAACCCUUAAAAUCUUUUUUACUAUUUAAUAUCCAAUUUGGAUAUCUCAUCUAAGUAUUAUUUGGAUGACCGCUGCCACGGUGAAACGGCCGAUCGAAAAAAUUGACGCAAAAUUAAAUUUUGUACUUAUACAAUAGUUAGUUCCGCAUUAAUGGCAUGGAGUCGGAUUUGGCAUGGAGUCGGGUUUGUAAAUUUUUUAGGCGAAAUUGUUACACAAAGAGAUGUUCAAAGUUCAAACCAAGAUAUCAAUUUCUUUGUAAGGGGAUGUAAAGCAAUUUCUAAAAUUGUACUAUUCAAUUAAAAAGUCAGGUCGAGUCAACUGAUUGAAUCAGUCAUAACUCAGUCAGCUGCUAGUCAAAAAGGUAACGUCUGAGUUAGAUGUUAACUCGGCUGAAUGGUAUUAGCCUAGGGCCUAGGCCAUUUGCAUUGGCCCAAGCUCUGUUGCGCCAUCUUGGCCGUUUACAGCUUCAGUUCCCUGUUCCCGCUUCACUGCACAUGCCUGCACAUCCAACUCAAUCCAUCAUAUGCCUACUCCCAUUGCAACUCGGCUCUUCUUCAUCUAAGUUCAAGCACAACUCGGGUUAUCUUCCACCACACCUAUUUACUUCUAUCACCAGAAUCACACAAACCACUCACCACAACAGCUACAACCUUGAACACCAACCAAACUCAGCUAUAUCUCCUUCCUACAAUUCAAUUCCUAGCAUACAUCUAAGUUCCAAGGCCAUUCAAUACCAGCUGCUAACAAUACCCACAGCAACAACCACAACUCCAAUUCUGAACAUCAACUCACAGCACCAUCAUCUCAUUGCCGCAUCAAAAUCAUUAU